rnacentral:rRNA from 1 species
GAUGAACGCUGGCGGCGUGCCUAAUACAUGCGAGUCGAGCGAAUGGAUUAAGAGCUUGCUCUUAUGAAGUUAGCGGCAGACGGGUGAGUAACACGUGGGUAACCUGCCCAUAAGACUGGGAUAACUCCGGGAAACCGGGGCUAAUACCGGAUAACAUUUUGAACCGCAUGGUUCGAAAUUGAAAGGCGGCUUCGGCUGUCACUUAUGGAUGGACCCGCGUCGCAUUAGGUAGUUGGUUGGGUAACGGCUCACCAAGGCAACGAUGCGUAGCCGACCUGAGAGGGUGAUCGGCCACACUGGGACUGAGACACGGCCCAGACUCCUACGGGAGGCAGCAGUAGGGAAUCUUCCGCAAUGGACGAAAGUCUGACGGAGCAACGCCGCGUGAGUGAUGAAGGCUUUCGGGUCGUAAAACUCUGUUGUUAGGGAAGAACAAGUGCUAGUUGAAUAAGCUGGCACCUUGACGGUACCUAACCAGAAAGCCACGGCUAACUACGUGCCAGCCGCCGCAGUAA